rnacentral:rRNA from 1 species
CCUGACGCAGCGACGCCGCGUGAGUKWUGAAGGCUUUCGGGUCGUAAAGCUCUGUCAAGUGGGAAGAWCCCGUGCCGCACAAAUAGUGCGGUGCGCUGACGGUACCACUGAWGGWWGCACCGGCUAACUCCGUGCCAGCWGCCGCGGUAAUAYGGGGGGUGCAAGCGUUAUUCGGAAUCAUUGGGCGUAAAGAGCGCGUAGGCGGUCUUCUAUGUCAGGUGUGAAAGCCCGGGGCUCAACCCCGGAAGUGCACUUGAWACUGGGAGACUUGAGUAUGGGAGAKGGAAGUGGAAUUCCUGGUGUAGCGGUGAAAUGCGUAGAUAUCAGGAGGAACACCGGUGGCGAAGGCGACUUCCUGGACCAAUACUGACGCUGAGGCGCGAAGGCGUGGGGAGCAAACAGGAUUAGAUACCCUGGUAGUCCACGCAGUAAACGUUGAACACUARGUGUAGCGGGUAUUGACCCUGCUGUGCCGCAGUUAACGCAUUAAGUGUUCCGCCUGGGGAGUACGACCGCAAGGUUAAAACUCAAAGGAWUUGACGG